UACGGAGGGGGCUAGCGUUGUUCGGAAUUACUGGGCGUAAAGCGCACGUAGGCGGACUGUUAAGUCGGGGGUGAAAUCCUGGGGCUCAACCUCAGAAUUGCCUCCGAUACUGGCAGUCUCGAGUGCGGAAGAGGUGAGUGGAAUUCCCAGUGUAGAGGUGAAAUUCGUAGAUAUUGGGAAGAACACCAGUGGCGAAGGCGGCUCACUGGCCCGUAACUGACGCUGAGGUGCGAAAGCGUGGGGAGCAAACAGG
rnacentral:rRNA from 1 species